CCUGCGGAAGGAUCAU
rnacentral:ncRNA from 40 species